CCUACGGGAGGCAGCAGUGGGGAAUAUUGGACAAUGGGGGGAACCCUGAUCCAGCGACGCCGCGUGAGUGAAGAAGUAUUUCGGUAUGUAAAGCUCUAUCAGCAGGGAAGAAAGAAAUGACGGUACCUGACGAAGAAGCCCCGGCUAACUACGUGCCAGCAGCCGCGGUAAUACGUAGGGGGCAAGCGUUAUCCGGAUUUACUGGGUGUAAAGGGAGCGUAGACGGCGAUGCAAGUCUGAAGUGAAAGGCGGGGGCCCAACCCCCGGACUGCCUUGGAAACUGUAUGGCUGGAGUGCAGGAGAGGUAAGUGGAAUUCCUGGUGUAGCGGUGAAAUGCGUAGAUAUUAGGAGGAACACCAGUGGCGAAGGCGGCUUACUGGACUGUCACUGACGUUGAGGCUCGAAAGCGUGGGGAGCAAACAGGAUUAGAUACCCUUGUAGUC
rnacentral:rRNA from 1 species